rnacentral:rRNA from 1 species
UACCGUGAGGGAAAGGUGAAAAGUACUUUGAAAAGAGAGUCAAAAAGACCGCGAAACCGUUAGGAGGGAAGCGAAUGCAGCCAAAGUGGUUCUCAUUCAGGCUCAGGAGCUGUUGGCAUGCAGUGCUGGGAUGUCAGACGCCGAAGGGUGCUACAACUCGGAUACAGCUGUCGACUGCUUUGCAUUCCUGGUGAGAACCGGCCAACGGCAGUUACUCCUGGCUCAUGAGGGUUGGUGGGAAGGUAGCUUCUUGGUUUACUGAGAAGAACUUAUAGCCACCAGCCUGGUAGUCUGGGAGUGACUGAGGAGUGCUGUGACUUUUCACACCCACAGUACAGGCUCCCUAGGGGCCGGGUCCCUUCUGUCUGUGUGGGCAACGCCACAGGGACUGCGUGCAGUGUCUGCGGACGGAUGUGUGCUCAGGUGGGAGGUCGGCCACGUCUUGUGCUGUAGUCGUUGGUACCUGGAUGGCUUCAUUCGACCCGUCUUGAAACACGGACCAAGGAGUGCAACAUGCAUGCGAGUCUUGGGGUGGAAAACCCAUCGGCGCAAUGAAAGUGAAGGUAGAUGUUGGUCUACUGAGGCAAGAGCCUCUCAGGAGGCACAUUGUCGACCGAUCCCAGGCUACGCUGUAGUGGGAUUUGAGUGAGAGCGUGCCUGUUGCGACCCGAAAGAUGGUGAACUAUGCCUGAAUAGGGCGAAGCCAGAGGAAACUCUGGUGGAAGCUCGUAGCGAUUCUGACGUGCAAAUCGAUCGUCAAAUUUGGGUAUAGGGGCGAAAGACUAAUCGAACCAUCUAGUAGCUGGUUCCCUCCG